AUGAGUUUAAUUAAAAUAAUAAUAUAGAAUUGUCACUUCUAAUUUACCCUUGGGUAACUCUUA
rnacentral:tRNA from 1 species